CGCCGCGGCUACUUUGUAGCGGGUUCGGGGCCGGCCCGCCUGCGGCUGCGGGAGCCCGGCCCGGCCCGACCCGGGGACCCGGGAGUCUGUCGCCGACGUGUGCGGGCUGCAGCGGCCUGAGCUCUACGCGCAGGUUGAAUACUACAGGUACAGGCCGCGGAAGCUGGAAUAUUCUGAUGCUGGUAUUUUUACUGACUUAUACCAAUUCUCCAGUUUACAGUACACACUAACGAGGUCAAAUAGUCUUCCAUAACUUGUAGCAGCUAUGUGUCCAGUGCGCCCUUCACAGGCCUUAGCAGCAGGACAGUGCUGGUGGUGACCGGGCAGCCUAGCAGGUGUUUUACCUUCAUCUUGUCAUUCAGUUCUGACAACUCUGAGGUCGGUACUAUUCCUUUGUUUUAUAGAUGAAGCAACAAAGAGGUUAGGUACUGACUCAAGGUCCCGCCACAUGUGAGGCCCUGAACAGGGAUCCUCGUGUAACUUUCUGGCCAUGUGACCUCUUGGAAAGUCACUUCUCUUGGCAUUUAAUGUUCAAUUGGAGCUGUAGUAAUAUUGAGACAGAUGAGGCCAGUUUGGUCAGGGGAGACCACAGCAGAACUAUUAAGAAUAUAAGGUCUUCAUAGUAUUUAAUUACAUCAGACCUACGAAGUUACCAAAAUUUGGCACAAAGGGGGCAUCUGUCAGCAUGUUAGGUGUUUUUGAUGAAUGAGCAUAACGAGCUGUGACGGGCUUUAAAGGAUACAGGGGUGCUAGAUUGUUAGAAUAUGAAAAUCUUCGAGGUGAUGGGGGAAGUUUUCAUAUGGGAAGAAACGAGACAGUGAAGCAAGAUGAACAGAGCCUAGUAUGUGCUAGUUGUUCAUGCUGACCAGCCCUGAAUGUCUGCAAAUACCUCAUUUUCCAGAAGUUUUCAAUAAAGAUUUAAUAUUCACCUUGCA